rnacentral:rRNA from 1 species
UACGGAGGGGGCUAGCGUUGUUCGGAAUUACUGGGCGUAAAGCGUACGUAGGCGGCUUUGUAAGUUAGAGGUGAAAGCCCGGGGCUCAACUCCGGAAUUGCCUUUAAGACUGCAUCGCUUGAAUCAUGGAGAGGUGAGUGGAAUUCCGAGUGUAGAGGUGAAAUUCGUAGAUAUUCGGAAGAACACCAGUGGCGAAGGCGACUCACUGGACAUGUAUUGACGCUGAGGUACGGAAAGCGUGGGGAGCAAACAGG